UGGGGGAUAUUGCACAAUGGGGGAAACCCUGAUGCAGCGACGCCGCGUGGGGGAAGACGGUUUUCGGAUUGUAAACCUCUGUCUUUGGGGGACGAACAAAUGACGGUACCCAAGGAGGAAGCCACGGCUAACUACGUGCCAGCAGCCGCGGUAAUGCGUAGGUGGCAAGCGUUGUCCGGAAUUACUGGGUGUAAAGGGAGCGUAGGCGGUAUUGCAAGUUGAAUGUGAAAUCUAUCGGCUCAACUGAUAGGCUGCGUUCAAAACUGUAGUACUUGAGUGAAGUAGAGGCAGGCGGAAUUCCCGGUGUAGCGGUGGAAUGCGUAGAUAUCGGGGAGGAACACCAGUGGCGAAGGCGGCCUGCUGGGCCUUAACUGACGCUGAGGCUCGAAAGCAUGGGGAGCAAACAGGAUUAGAUACC
rnacentral:rRNA from 1 species